UCAGUCUGCCGGGAAGCAGCUGGGACUCCAAGCCGCCCCGGUCAAGUCUCCUACCAGCCGACUGAAGGGAACGACUUGCUCUUGGCAGCAGAGGAGCUGCCAGAGAUGAGGCAGAAGGGACGUGAGAGGGAGCCCACAGCCAACCUGGAGAAGCUGCAGAAGGGACUGGGACGCGGAGGACUGAAGUACAUGCUGUGAGCAACCUUUGCCAGCAGGUGCAGGAAUGCUGUAGGCUAACAUAUUACACCCAGUCUGAGAUGACAGCUGAAGGCCUGAAACAGCAGUGCGAGGAGUGUUAGAAUUCGGCAGUUCUAUCUAAUUGGAAACCCCACUGUGACUGGCAUGCAAGUGCCUUGUGCAAGAGGCCAUUUUUCAUGGGAAUGAGAAGCUCGUUUCUGACAUGAUAGAAAAUCCUAUGUCAAUGGUAUGGAGAACAAUUAUCCUUUUAGGGCACUCAUGAGUAAGGCUGCGAGUUUGUCACUGAGGUCAUGGACUCCAUGACUUUCCGUGACCUCUGUGACUUCUGCAGCGGCUGAUGUGGCUGGCCUGGGUGCCGUCUGAGCAGCUUGGGGGGCCCCUGGACCAGCCACACAAUCCACUGCUGGGGCAGUCUCAGGCCACCACCCCACUUCCCAAGCAGCAACAGGAGUUUGGGUGGGAGGCUUAGGGCUGGGAGAUUUUCCAGUA